rnacentral:rRNA from 1 species
AUGGCGGGCGCUCACCUUCUCGCCCCUCCCCCUCCACCUCCGAGCGCCUUACCCAGCGGUUCCUCAACAGCUCGCAGCUGUCGCUCAAGUCGCUUCCGCUUCUCUCCUCCUGCCUGCCCCCUUGCUGUCGUCCGCCGCCGACCGGACUUGGAUGGACGAGCACAUCCUCAAGGCCAAGCAGGCGCGGUGCUCCAGCAGUCUGGCCUCCUCGGCGUCGACGCAGUCUGCAUCCAUCUAGGCAUUCAUCUAAUAAGUUCUAUGUCUUCUGAAAUCUGUCUGGUUUUUCUUCCUUCACAUCUAAUUAGUUUCACAUGGAUUUGUAUGUUACAGAGUUCUAAAGAACAGAGGAAGAUUCCUGUGCUUGGAGUUGAGUCAUGUGAAUGUUUAGAUUUUUAA